GGGGUUGUGGCUCAAUGGUGGAGUGCUUGCCUGGUAUGUGUGAAGUACUGGGUUUGAUUCUCAGCACCUCA
rnacentral:tRNA from 1 species